rnacentral:rRNA from 1 species
UGGGAUGACGUCAAAUCAUCAUGCCCUUAUGUUCUGGGCUACACACGUGCUACAAUGGCCGGUACAGACGGACGCAAAGCCGCGAGGUGGAGCAAAUCCUAAAAAGCCGGUACUCAGUUCGGAUUGCAGGCUGCAAUUCGCCUGCAUGAAGUCGGAAUCGCUAGUAAUCGCAGGUCAGCAUACUGCGGUGAAUACGUUCCCGGGCCUU